rnacentral:rRNA from 1 species
AGAUUGAACGCUGGCGGCAUGCCUUACACAUGCAAGUCGAACGGCAGCGCGGGGCAACCUGGCGGCGAGUGGCGAACGGGUGAGUAAUAUAUCGGAACGUACCCUGGAGUGGGGGAUAACGUAGCGAAAGUUACGCUAAUACCGCAUACGAUCUAAGGAUGAAAGUGGGGGAUUCGCAAGAACCUCAUGCUCCUGGAGCGGCCGAUAUCUGAUUAGCUAGCUGGUGGGUAAAGGCCCACCAAGGCAUCGAUCAGUAGCUGGUCUGAGAGGACGACCAGCCACACUGGAACUGAGACACGGUCCAGACUCCGUACGGGAGGCAGCAGUGGGGAAUUUGGACAAGUGGGACGAAAGCCUGAUCCAGCAAUGCCGCGUGAGUGAAGAAGGCCUU